GAGGAAACUGCAAAUAUCCUUCUGGAUCUUAUAAAUACUUUGGCCAUAAUGUCGUCCAGCAGAAAGAGCUAAAGAAUAGCAGGUCAUUGUGCCCUGUUAGCAUCUUCUCUUUUAUUUCGGAUUUGGAACCACUUCACGACUCUAUGCAGCUGCUCAUCAGUAAAAGAAACUUGAAACUUAAGAAGCAAACUGCACAAAUGGAGUGUCUAUCACUCCAGAUAAUAACGAGGAGAAGACGUCUCAGACCAAAAAGAAUAUCCGCAGAACAAGGAGGAGGGAAACAAGUAUCAAGCACAAAGUGUUGUACUUGCAUCAUCAAGUUGUGCUCCUAUUUUGAGAAGCUAAGUUUUGAGAGAACUGCAGCAGCUUGGUCACCACCUAGAAGGAAAUAAGGAUGUCUAAGAGCUGCAGCAGCAGAUAAACGUCUACCUCUCUCUGAAAUAAGUUUCGUAGCCAAAUCCCACCCUCUACCGGAGUCGAGAUCAAGGAUACUGAGAUCAGGCCUCGUCCUAGUCCUUUCUCUCCAAUUAUUCAAGUCAUAUCCAACUGCAUUUAGUUCCAUAUUGAAGUUCUUUAAGCCUGCUGUAGACCUUAAGCUCGGUACUGCCAUUUGCAUAAGCACUAUUCCAGCAGAAUACGUGUCAAAGAGAUCGGGACUGUUUAGCUGCCAUAAAAAUGGGGAAAGAAGUGCAGCAACUGGCUCGGGUGGUGGUUUCGGAGUUUCUUCUGGCAUUACAUAGAGUUCAGGUGGACAAUAAUCAGGAUCGAGUAGCCCCUUGUCAGGCACAUAAUUUUUUCCAAUCCGAAGAUCAGUUGCUGCCCCAAAAUCUAUCAGCUUGAUUUGUCCUUUUUUCGUAACCACUAAGUUGGAUGGCUUUACAUC
rnacentral:misc_RNA from 1 species